GCUCCUAGCACCGGCUGGGCACUGAGCUCAGUGUGGCACACACGUUCCCUCCCUUCUUCCUACAACACCUGCUAAGUGGGUCUGUCACGAGUCCCAUUCUCCAGGUGAGGAGACGGGUUCGGAGAAGAUUUUGCCAGACCUUCGAGAUGAGACAUCGCGUCAGGUUUGUUCUCUAAUAUCAUGACAUCCCUUGAGGUCAGCAUCACGACCAGCACCUCAAUAUCAGGACACGGAGGAUUUAUUUCCUGGAAUCUGUGAACAAGGAUAGAAAAACGACAUUUUUAUUUUUACUCGCCUCUACCUAAACUCUACCAUCCCUUGAAUUAUACACGUAGGCGACACAUCACAGGAGUGUGAGCAGGUCCUGUGUCUGUGUCACCAUGAGAAGGCGUGGGUGCCCCGUGGCAGAUGACAAGAUGUGUCACUACUGUGGAAGACAGUCGUCACUCCACCCGCCGUGAGCAUUGUGCAGUGUGCUAACAGAGAAGCAUGCAAGUUAUACAAGUACUUUAGUGGUAACUGACUUCAGUGUACUUGGCUGUCUAUACAAAAUAAUGCGUAUUUUGUGCAA